CCUACGGGAGGCAGCAGUAGGGAAUCUUUCACAAUGGACGAAAGCCUGAUGGAGCAACGCCGCGUGCAGGAUGAAGGCCUUCGGGUUGUAAACUUCUUUUAUCAGAGAGGAAUAUGAUGGUAACUUAUGAAUACUGAUCGGCUAACUACUUGCCAGCAGCCGCGGUCAUACGUAGGAUCCGAGCAUUAUCCGGAGUGACUGGGGGUAAAGAGUUGCGUAGGUGGCAUAAUAAGUAGCUAGUGAAAUCGGGUGGCUCAACCAUUCAGACUAUUAGCUAAACUGUUAAGCUCGAGACCGUUAGGGGUAACUGGAAUUUCUAGUGUAGGAGUGAAAUGCGUAGAUAUUAGAAGGAACACCAAUAGCGUAGGCAGGUUACUGGGACGGAUCUGACACUAAGGCACGAAAGCGUAGGGAGCAAACGGGAUUAGAUACCCCAGUAGUC
rnacentral:rRNA from 1 species